rnacentral:lncRNA from 1 species
AGACGUGGAGACAGCGACGAACGGCGCGGUGGCGGACGACGAGUACAAGAACGCGAACCUCAGGGACCCCAAGGUGCUCGUCACCACCUCGCGCGAUCCCUCCAGCAGGCUCACGCAGUUCGUGAAGGAGGUCAAGCUGCUCAUGCCCACCGCUCAGAGGAUCAAUCGCGGCGCGCAGGUGCUCCCCGACCUGGUGGAGCUCUGCCGCAGCAACGACUUCACCGACCUCGUCGUGGUGCACGAGCACAGGGGCGAACCCGACGGCAUGGUCAUAUCGCACAUGCCCUUCGGCCCGACGGCGUACUUUGGCAUCUCCAGCACGGUGAUGAGGCACGACAUCAAGGACGAGGACAUCGGCACGGUGUCCGAGGCCAACCCGCACUUGAUCCUGGAGAACUUCACG